rnacentral:snoRNA from 1 species
UGCGAUCAUAAUGAGGAUAACCAAGCUCCCUCUUCUGAUAUCUGUGAGGAAGUUGCUGGCAGAAUCGAACCAUUAACUUAAUAUUUCCAUUCCUGAAUGA